GAUUAAGUUAUUAAGGGCGCACGGUGGAUGCCUUGGCACUAGAAGCCGAUGAAGGACGUUACUAACGACGAUAUGCUUUGGGGAGCUGUAAGUAAGCUUUGAUCCAGAGAUUUCCGAAUGGGGAAACCCAGCAUGAGUUAUGUCAUGUUAUCGAUAUGUGAAUACAUAGCAUAUCAGAAGGCACACCCGGAGAACUGAAACAUCUUAGUACCCGGAGGAAGAAAAAGAAAAUUCGAUUCCCUUAGUAGCGGCGAGCGAAACGGGAAGAGCCCAAACCAACAAGCUUGCUUGUUGGGGUUGUAGGACACUCUAUACGGAGUUACAAAGGACGACAUUAGACGAAUCAUCUGGAAAGAUGAAUCAAAGAAGGUAAUAAUCCUGUAGUCGAAAAUGUUGUCUCUCUUGAGUGGAUCCUGAGUACGACGGAACACGUGAAAUUCCGUCGGAAUCUGGGAGGACCAUCUCCUAAGGCUAAAUACUCUCUAGUGACCGAUAGUGAACCAGUACCGUGAGGGAAAGGUGAAAAGCACCCCGGAAGGGGAGUGAAAUAGAACCUGAAACCGUGUGCUUACAAGUAGUCAGAGCCCGUUAAUGGGUGAUGGCGUGCCUUUUGUAGAAUGAACCGGCGAGUUACGAUUUGAUGCAAGGUUAAGCAGUAAAUGUGGAGCCGUAGCGAAAGCGAGUCUGAAUAGGGCGUUUAGUAUUUGGUCGUAGACCCGAAACCAGGUGAUCUACCCUUGGUCAGGUUGAAGUUCAGGUAACACUGAAUGGAGGACCGAACCGACUUACGUUGAAAAGUGAGCGGAUGAACUGAGGGUAGCGGAGAAAUUCCAAUCGAACCUGGAGAUAGCUGGUUCUCUCCGAAAUAGCUUUAGGGCUAGCCUCAAGUGAUGAUUAUUGGAGGUAGAGCACUGUUUGGACGAGGGGCCCCUCUCGGGUUACCGAAUUCAGACAAACUCCGAAUGCCAAUUAAUUUAACUUGGGAGUCAGAACAUGGGUGAUAAGGUCCGUGUUCGAAAGGGAAACAGCCCAGACCACCAGCUAAGGUCCCAAAAUAUAUGUUAAGUGGAAAAGGAUGUGGCGUUGCCCAGACAACUAGGAUGUUGGCUUAGAAGCAGCCAUCAUUUAAAGAGUGCGUAAUAGCUCACUAGUCGAGUGACACUGCGCCGAAAAUGUACCGGGGCUAAACAUAUUACCGAAGCUGUGGAUUGUCCUUUGGACAAUGGUAGGAGAGCGUUCUAAGGGCGUUGAAGCAUGAUCGUAAGGACAUGUGGAGCGCUUAGAAGUGAGAAUGCCGGUGUGAGUAGCGAAAGACGGGUGAGAAUCCCGUCCACCGAUUGACUAAGGUUUCCAGAGGAAGGCUCGUCCGCUCUGGGUUAGUCGGGUCCUAAGCUGAGGCCGACAGGCGUAGGCGAUGGAUAACAGGUUGAUAUUCCUGUACCACCUAUAAUCGUUUUAAUCGAUGGGGGGACGCAGUAGGAUAGGCGAAGCGUGCGAUUGGAUUGCACGUCUAAGCAGUAAGGCUGAGUAUUAGGCAAAUCCGGUACUCGUUAAGGCUGAGC
rnacentral:rRNA from 1 species